GACGGAGGAUGCAAGUGUUAUCCGGAAUCACUGGGCGUAAAGCGUCUGUAGGUGGUUUAAUAAGUCAACUGUUAAAUCUUGAGGCUCAACCUCAAAAUCGCAGUCGAAACUAUUAGGCUAGAGUAUAGUAGGGGUAAAGGGAAUUUCCAGUGGAGCGGUGAAAUGCGUAGAGAUUGGAAAGAACACCGAUGGCGAAGGCACUUUACUGAGCUAUUACUAACACUCAGAGACGAAAGCUAGGGUAGCAAAUGGG
rnacentral:rRNA from 1 species